CAACUUUCCUAGAAUA
rnacentral:tRNA from 1 species